rnacentral:misc_RNA from 1 species
AAGUCGUAACAAGGUUUCCGUAGGUGAACCUGCGGAAGGAUCAUUAUUGAAUAUUCUUGAUAAGUUGUAGCUGGCUCUUCGGAGUAUGUGCACGCUUAUCUUGACUCUAUUCAUCCACCUGUGCAGCUUUUGUAGUCUUGUGGUUUGAGUGCAGUCAACUAUCAGAUAUGGCUAGCGCCUUUCUGGAUGUGAGAAAUGCUGAGUGCUAAUGCAUACAGCUCUUCUCAAAAUGACUUGCAAACCUCUUUCCCAAGUACUAUGUAUUCAUAUACCACAUAGUAUGUUGUAGAAUGUGAUCAAUGGGCUUAUAUGCCUAUAAUAAUCAUAUACAACUUUCAGCAACGGAUCUCUUGGCUCUC